AGAGUUUGAUCCUGGCUCAGAACGAACGUUGGCGGCGUGGAUUAGGCAUGCAAGUCGAACGAGAAAGCACUCUUCGGAGUGUGAGUAAAGUGGCGAACUGGUGAGUAACAGGUGGGCAAUGUGCCUCUCAGCGGGGGAUAACGGUUGGAAACGGCCGCUAAUACCGCAUGUGGCCGCGAGUCUUCGGAUUCGUUGGUUAAAGACGCAUCUAGCAUGUGUCACUGGGAGAUCAGCCCGCCCCCGAUUAGCUUGUUGGUGGGGUAAUGGCCUACCAAGGCAGUGAUCGGUAGCUGGUCUAAGAGGAUGGUCAGCCACACUGGGACUGAGAUACGGCCCAGACUCCUACGGGGGGCAGCAGUCUAGGAGCUUCUACAAUGGACGAAAGUCUGAUAGAGCGACGCCGCGUGUGGGAAGACGGCCUUACGGUUGUAAACCACUGUCAGCAGGGAAGAAUGCCCGAAUGGUGAAUUCGGGAGAGACGGUACCUGCAGAGGAAGCCCCGGCUAACUCCGUGCCAGCAGCCGCGGUAAUACGGAGGGGGCAAACGUUGUUCGGAAUCACUGGGCGUAAAGGGUGCGUAGGCGGUUCGGUAAGUCUGAUGUGAAAUCUCCCCGCUCAACGGGGAACCCGCAUUGGAAACUGCUGAACUCGAGAGUGGGAGAGGCAGGUGGAAUUCCUGGUGUAGCGGUGGAAUGCGCAGAUAUCAGGAAGAACACUCGUGGCGAAGGCGGCCUGCUGGACCAUUUCUGACGCUGAGGCACGAAAGCCAGGGGAGCGAACGGGAUUAGAUACCCCGGUAGUCCUGGCCGUAAACGGUGAACACUAGGUGUCGGGGGCAUCGACCCCUUCGGUGCCGACGCAAACGCAUUAAGUGUUCCGCCUGGGGAGUACGGUCGCAAGACUGAAACUCAAAGGAAUUGACGGGGGCCCGCACAAGCGGUGGAGGAUGUGGUUUAAUUCGACGCAACGCGAAGAACCUUACCUGGGCUUAAACUGCAGGGUAAACCCCUCGAAAGAGGGGCUGCUUCGGCGAUCCUGUAGAGGUGCUGCAUGGCUGUCGUCAGCUCGUGUCGUGAGAUGUUGGGUUAAGUCCCGCAACGAGCGCAACCCUUGUCUCUAGUUACCAGCGGUUCGGCCGGGGACUCUAGAGAGACUGCCGUCGUAAGGCGGAGGAAGGUGGGGAUGACGUCAAGUCCGCAUGGCCCUUAUGUCCAGGGCUACACACGUCCUACAAUGGCCGGUACAGCGAGUCGCGACACUGCGAAGUGUAGCUAAUCUCUUAAAGCCGGUCCCAGUUCGGAUUGUAGUCUGCAACUCGACUACAUGAAGUCGGAAUCGCUAGUAAUCGCGGAUCAGCAUGCCGCGGUGAAUACGUUCCCGGGCCUUGUACACACCGCCCGUCACAUCACGGAAGUCUGCUGUACCAGAAGUCGCUGAGCUAACCGCAAGGAGGCAGGCGCCGAAGGUAUGGCCGGUAACUGGGAUGAAGUC
rnacentral:rRNA from 1 species